AGUUUGAUCCUGGCCUAGAUUGAAUGCUGGCGGAUGCUUUACACAUGCAAGUCGAACGGCAGCACGGACUUCGGUCUGGUGGCGAGUGGCGAACGGGUGAGUAAUGUAUCGGAACGUGCCUAGUAGCGGGGGAUAACUACGCGAAAGCGUAGCUAAUACCGCAUACGCCCUUCGGGGGAAAGCGGGGGACCUUCGGGCCUCGCACUAUUAGAGCGGCCGAUAUCGGAUUAGCUAGUUGGUGGGGUAACGGCUCACCAAGGCGACGAUCCGUAGCUGGUUUGAGAGGACGACCAGCCACACUGGGACUGGGACACGGCCCAGACUCCUACGGGAGGCAGCAGUGGGGAAUUCUUGGGACAAUGGGGGGAAACCCUGAUCCAGCUACUCCCGCGAUGAAGGCCUUGGGUUGUAAAGCACUCUUUUGGCAGGAAAGAAACGCACGGGAUAAUACCCUGUGCAACUGACGGUACCUUACAGAAUAAGCACCGGCUAACUACGUGCCAGCAGCCGCGGUAAUACGUAGGGUGCAUGCUAAUCGGAAUUACUGGGCGUAGCGUGCGCAGGCGGUUCGGAAAGAGACAGAGAAUCCCAGAGCUUAACUUUGGGAACUGCAUUUUUAACUACCGAGCUAGAGUGUGUCAGAGGGAGGUGGAAUUCCGCGUGUAGCAGGAAUGCGUAGAUAUGCGGAGGAACACCGAUGGCGAAGGCAGCCUCCUGGGAUAACACUGACGCCUAUGCACGAAAGCGUGAGCAAACAGGAUUAGAUACCCCAGUCCACGCCCUAAACGAUGUCAACUAGCCGUUGGGGCCUUCGGCCUUUGGUAGCAGCUAACGGGCAGGGUUGACCGCCUGGGGGAGCACGGUCGAUUAAAACUCAAAGGAAUUGACGAUUCGCAUUACGGUGGGAUGAUGGGAUUAAUUCGAUGCAGUCUUAAACCUUACCUACCCUUGACAUGUCUGAAUCCCGAAGAGAUUUGGGAGUGCUCGCAAGAGAACCGGUGCCGCGGUGCUGCAUGGCUGUCGUCAGCUCGUGUCGUGAGAUGUUGGGUUAAGUCCGCAACGAGCGCAACCCUUGUCAUUAGUUGCUACGAAAGGGCACUCUAAUGAGACUGCCGGUGACAAACCGGAGGAAGGUGGGGAUGACGUCAAGUCCUCAUGGCCCUGAGGGCAGGGCUUCACACGUCAUACAACGGCCGGACAGAGGGUCGCCAACCCGCGAGGGGAGCCAAUCCCAGAAACCUGAUCGUAGUCCGGAUCGCAGUCUGCAACUCGACUGCGUAGUCGGGAAUCGCGCAGAACGUGGAUCAGCAUGUCGCGGUGAAUACGUUCCCGGUCCCAGACACACCGCCCGUCACACCAUGGGAGUGGGUUUUACCAGAGUAGUUACCCAACUGCAGGAGGGCGAUUACCACGGUAGGAUUCAUGACUGGGGUGAAGUCGCAACAAGGUAA
rnacentral:rRNA from 1 species